rnacentral:rRNA from 1 species
UACGUAGGGUGCGAGCGUUAAUCGGAAUUACUGGGCGUAAAGGGUGCGCAGGCGGUUCUGCAAGUCAGGCGUGAAAGCCCCGGGCUUAACCUGGGAAUGGCGCUUGAAACUACAGGACUGGAGUAUGGCAGAGGGAGGUGGAAUUCCACGUGUAGCGGUGAAAUGCGUAGAUAUGCGGAGGAACACCGAUGGCGAAGGCAAUCCCCUGGGCCUGCACUGACGCUCAUGCACGAAAGCGUGGGGAGCAAACAGG